rnacentral:lncRNA from 1 species
GGAGUGUAAUCCAAAGUGAAAGGGCAAGGGAGGUCUAGCUAGAGGGAGGGUGGCAGGGGAUCGGGGCCUGGUGUGGAAGUCAUGCGUUGCACUCAUGUGUGCAUGGACCCCAGCAGGGUAAGUGUGAGGCCACAGGCGGGACCCCAUGUGCCAUGCUUAGGGGUUCAGACAUUGUCCUGGAGAUGAUGAAGGACCCCUGAGAGUUUUAAGCAGAGUUGGGUGUGAAGAUGGAUCUGAGAGGCCAAGACCGAGCAGGGAGACAAGUCAUGAUGGUCCUGAUCCGAGACGGUGUGGGAGGUGGGAACUGACUUUAAGAUGGUGGAAAUGCAAAGCCAGGUGAUGUUUCUGGGACAGGAUUGACCAAAUCUAGUGACCUACUAGAUAUAGGGAGAAAAAAUAAGGAAAGCAUAGGGGAUCACACUGAGGGUUUGCAUUUGAGAGACUAGAGUCAGGAGGCAAGGCAGGAUGGGGGUGGAGAAGGGGAAUGAUGGGGCUGAAAUUAGACCACAGUGGUGGUGGGAAUGUGGACACUGAGGGAAGAGGAGGCAGUGAGCACACGAGUCUUUCAUGAUGUUUGGUGAUGAAGAGAAGGAGGGAUGUUCUGUAGCUUUAAAGGAUUUUUCAAAAGUAGGAGAAAGAACCUGUUUGUAAGUAGAGGGAAGAUACGGUAGAGAGGGAGAGAUCAUAGGGUGUAGAGAACUGCCAUUUGCUGAGUGGGUGCCGCUUGCAGGCCCGGAGCCAUGCCCUUAACAUGCAUAUCUCAUUUCAGCAGCAUGCCAACCCAUGGGGUAGCUCUACUUAUACCCAUUUUCUGAAUGAAGAAACUGAGGCAGACCGAUGGAUUCACCCAGGGAUGGGACUUGCUGAGCAGUUGAAGCAAAAGAAUAGAGUGACUGGGAAGGGAAGAAAAUGAAGUCAAACGAAAGCUAAUAGAAUGGGGUGGCGGAGUGCGGGGCUUAACGGGCUGAGGGGUGUCUAUAUUCCAGACGUGGGAUUUGGAGUUGUUCUGGCUAAUGUCAAAGACCACACACAAGGACAUGGACGUCAACGGUUCAUUCACAUGAGAUGACAGUUACCCAGGAUGAACCAACUGCAAAAAGCUGUCUGUGGAUGGUAACUGCAGGUGACCUGAAUGCAUGUGCCUCCUCCUUCUUUUUCCGCUUUUUGUCUUUUCCUUAAGCCUCUCUGAACAGUAUCUUCAGAAGUGUCUGUUUCCCACAGAGCAUGGUGUGUCCAAGAAAUACCCCACAUUCCCAUUGCCUUUGCUAUUUAAUGCUGUAGUUGGGAGAGGCAGUCUUGCUUUCUGCUUGCCUGUCUUUUUGGAGCACAUAUGAACUACAAAUAGAUACAGCCCACAUUUUGCCUCAAAGAUAUAUUCUUUGUUUUCUCCAAGUUGCCAAGUUGAACUCUAAGCUGAUGUUUAAUUUAUCUGUGGUAAUGAGGAACGGGGAUAGCCUUGCAUAAUUGGAAUCUGAAGAUAAGCCAAAAGCUUCUUUUAGCCAAAAUUCCUACAUCCUUUCCCACCAACUCUUUAUGCCUGUGUUGCUAACAAAUGGCAAAUUGACUAAUCUGAGUUUCACCAGUUCUUUGUGUGGUGUAUCUGACCUUUCACAAUGGGUUCAUACCAGAGUCCACUUCCAUGGUCCUUCAAGAUGUGGGUGUCUGGUUCUCAGGUAACCAACCAAAACCUUUGUACCUACCACUCAUGUAUAUUUCAGUUGAAGUUAGAAAAGCACCCCCUCAGUCUAUAGCUAACCUCUGGUGAAAUUGAGGAAUGAAUGAAUUGCUAAGCCAUCUAUAAAUAGAAUUCCGGGACAAUUCAUCUGAUGUGAGAGACAACCCUUUGAUAGGUUUCUGAGAAGAUGUGUGAAGCCACUACUCUCAAUUGUUCUUUCAUUUACUUUUUGCUAAUCAAAGCCCCAGACAUAUUCCAAAAUGUGAGAUGUUUUGGAAGAUUAACCAAAACACAAGCUGAAAUUUACCAGGGGCUCUGUAUAAAGUUAUACCCUUAGGCUUUUAUUCUCAAAGCCCUCCCAAGUACAGAAGUGUAGCAUGGGAUGAUGUGACAUAGAAUCGCAGAGUGGGAGGAGCCCACCAUACUUCAAUUCAGUGUAUCCAGAAGGAAAACUAAGGUUCACAGACUUGCUUAGGGGCUUAGUCAAGGGACUAUUUGUUCAGAACCAACAUUCAUACAAAGAGUCUUAAAUUUAAAAGGGGAUUUAUUUCAGAGAAACCUCAUGGAAACCAGUUGAAAGAGGGUUAGUGGGGACUUUCGGGAAGUGAAAAGUCGCUGGUUAAUUUCUCUGUUUCUAUCUCUGUGGGGCCUUGCAGAUUCUUUUCUUUGCUUCCGGGAGCCUUCUUCAUAUCUGCAGUGGAUAUGAGGUGAUAUGGUUUGGCUCUGUUCCCCACCCAAAUCUCAUCUCGAAUUGUAAUCCUACGAUCGCCACGUGUCAAGGGCAGAAACUGGUAGGAGGUGAUUGGAUCGUGGGGGCAGUGUGCUGUUCUCGUGAUAGUGAGUGAGUUCUCACGAGAUCUGAUGAUUUUAUAAAGGGCUCUUCCCCUUUCGCCAUUCACUCUGUCCUGCUGCCUUGUGAAGAAGGUGUCUGCUUCCUCUUCACCUUCUGCCAUGAUUGUCAGUUUCCUGAGGCCUUCCCAGCCAUGCUGAACUGUGAGUCAAUGAAACCUCUUUCCUUUAUAAAUUACCCAGUCUCGGGUAUUUCUUUAGAGCAGUGUGAGAAUGGACUAACACGAGGCUUCGCUGGUCUCUCAUGACCAACCCAAAAGGCAAGGUCAGCUUCCAUGUCUCAAUGGCCUUCCAGUGAGGCCCCUCACAGCUAACUGACCAGGGCAGGGGUCUCCUUGGUCCAGCUGAGAUCAGGGCCUGGCUCCGGCCCAUGCCUGUGGUAAGAGUGGGACUAUCCCUUGUGGAGCUGACAAGGGCUGACUCUCUGUAAGGGUGGCUAAGGCACUACUGGCCACUCUGGUGCCCCAGGAUGGCACAGGCAGGUCAGAACCUGGCUGUCACUCCAGGCCAGCCUUCUGCCACUGACUGGAAAGGUGGGCUCAAACACAACUGCAGUUAAAAGAGAGGAAUUGCCCCGGAGGUGAAUGCAGUCACCUGCAUAGGGGAAAAGGAGGUGAGAGGCCUGCUCUACUCCCCCUGAUCAGAUGCCAUCCAAGGGCACAUGGCUGACAUGUUUGAAGAAAAACCCAGAGUCAACUCAGAGCCCAACUCAGGCCUGAUAAAAAGUGACUAUGAUGAUGAAGAGAUUCAAAAUUAUGCUGCAGAAGGAAUGGCUGGAGGGUCUAGGCGUAUUUCACCUGGAAAGAGGAAGCUUUAAAGGAGAUGUGAGUCUUUUGUCCAAAUGUGUAGACUGACUAAAUUCUUUAAAGAGUUUUAUGUUUGUGUAUAUCUGAAGGGUCCAGAACUAGCAUCAAAGGGUAGAAUUUAGAGGGAGGAAGACUUUGGAUUAAAAUUAGGGGCCACAUACUUUCUGUGAGGGUAUCUUGAUAUUGGCUGCCCUGUCACAUUUAAGAAAGGAUGGGAUGAUCAUUCGUAAGAGAAGCUGUAGAGCUGAUCCACAAACUAAGGGAGUUCUGAAGUCUAUUCUAGUUUGGAAUUCUAUGGCUCUGCUGCAGGUGCAUCUGGUUGGCUGGAUUGAUUGCUAUCACAGGGGCAGAGGCCACUGUGUAUGAUCACUUAGGUCAGUGAAAUCAGUAGAGGCCAAGCGGCUGCACCACUGGAGGACAGCAGGUUGCCCUGAUCCUGAAUCCCUUCAACACUGGGCCUUCUCACAUCUGUUUGAGACAAGCCACUUUCAGCUGAGAUGCACUAGAUCCUUCAAGCCUCUCUACCACCCACAGGGUCACCAUCUGCUGGAGCGGCCAGUGGGGCUGCAGGUUACCCAUCAAAGCCCAAGCUAUGAAAUUGUCAUUGAGAGGAGUGCUUUAGACAUAGAGCUCAUUUGGUGGCAGAGAUCAGAAGCUUGUUCAAAGCAGCCUGGAAUUUUUAAAAGAAUAAGGGAAACAUGUAAAGGCAGCUUGCAGUCUAUCUGAGAAAACAAGACAUACCCUCAAGCAGAUAAUUGCCAUUUACAGUCAUUCCUAUGAUCUCAGCACUAUGUGGGUUUAAUCAGCCUUCUGCUAAAAGGAACCAGGUCCAAGACAUUCAGCAUGGCAUGGUAGCUAAGCAAGAUCCAGUGUCUUCAUUCAGCACUGACAGAGUCACUGUCUCUGAGCAGUACUUAGCUACAGAAACUUUGAAGCCUUCUGCAAUUUAUUAUGCUGAGUGCAUCUAAUCAACAUGUAGAAUAAAGAUGGAGCUCCAGAGAAGUUAGCACGCAAUCUGGGUGACAGGUGCUGAGCAAGGACAGCCUCUUCCCAAUACUCUCCAAGCGGCCUGCUGUUUCCAGGGAAUGAUAUUAUCAUUCUUGGCAUCUAGAACAGGACUCAAUGUAAGAUUGUCUAAGGCAGUCACUGGCUACAGUUCAUGGAAGCUUCAGGACGGCACUUGGCAUGAGCUCUCAGUGCUAUGGAAAAAAGAAGCUCUUAGGUGGAAUAUUUCUAGCUAAAAAAUGUAUAGUUUUUUUUGUUGUUGUUUCUGUUCCUUUCAUUUUUAUUUUUAGAAAUAGGAUUUCAAAGGGCAUUUGUCCUGGUCCCUCAGGAAAGAACAUUUUCUAAAGUGUUCCCAUCAACAAUGCCUCAGGUGUUACAGGUCCCUACUCUUGGCCAUCCAGCUCUGCCACCGUGCCUGGAUUCUGCAUUUUCAAAGGGACCAGCUUACCAGCAGCAUCCUCUUCCUGCUGCCUCUUGACUCACACAGAUCCCAUCAAUAAGCAUUCACUGAGGCCUGCUCUAAGUGAGGCUCUGGGGAGAGUGCUGUGGGAGCUUCAAGAGCAAUAGCAGCCCUGAGCUCCAGGAGCUUCCCCUCUGAGGUGGGGAAUUGCGAUGCAUGGAACAUCUCCAACACACAAAGCAGACUCUUGCUAGGCUUCGAACUGGAAUUGCAUUGAUCGUAUUAACUUGGGGGAGAUCUGAUAUAUUUAAAAGAAAAAAAUAAGCCGGGCAUGGCGGCUCACGUCUGUAAUCCCAGCACUUGGGGAGACUGAGGUAGGUGGAUCAUUUGAGGUCAGGAGUUUGAGACCAGCCUGGCCAACAUGGUGAGACCCCGUCUCUACUAAAAAUACAAAAAUUAGCCGGGCGUGGUGGGUGCCUGUAAGCCCAGCUACGUGGGAGGCUGAGGCAGGAGAAUCGCUUGAACUUGAGAGAUGGAGGCUGCAGUGAGCUGAGAUCAUGCCACUGCACUUCAGCCUGGGUGACAGAGUGAGACUCUGUCUCAAAAAAGAAAAAAAAAAAAAAAGAAAAAAAUAUAGGCGAUGGAACAGAAAAGUGGGCAGUGGCUAUGAAGAUGCAAUCCAAAUAUAAGGUAAUACUUAUCACCAAAGAAAUAGCAAUUAAGACAACAGUGAGACAGCAUCUUGUGUCUGUCAGAUUGGAGGAAAAAUACUAAAUUGAAUAAUGUGAAUUGUUGUUGAGGAUUGUGGAACUAGCCUUCCAUGAAACGUUUCUAGAAGUCUAAAUGAGUGUAGACACUCCAGAGAGCAAUCUGGCGGUAUUUAGCAAUCCCAUACCUGGGCAUAUAACUUGGACAAACUCUGAUUAUAACAGACUAGGCCCAAGGAUAUGUUUAUUGCAGUAUUAUUGGUGGUAGUGAUGAGUUGGAGGCAAUAUAAGUUUCUACCACAAGGAGGGUUGAUAUGAGCGUUUGAUGAAUAGUAUGCAGUAGUCAGAAUAAUAAAACAGAUGUACACUCAGCAUGGAGAAAUCUGAAUAAGAUACUGUUGGCUGAUGACAGUAAGACAUGGAUUGAGAUAUAUAGUAGAGUGUCAUUUAUAUAAAUUCAAAACACGUGCACAAGAUGAUCAUGUCUCUAGUAGCUACAAAAGUGCUUGAUACAGAGUAGGCCUUCAGUAAAUUGUUUUACUUGUUGUCAAUAAAAAUAUAUAUACUAAAUAAAUAUCUAACAUUUAUGUAAGUUAAGAAUACAUAGACAUAUACAUAUUUUAAGGGUAUAUACAAAUGCGAAACAUAAUUUAAGGGUACGGCUCUUCUGGAUAGUCCAGCGUUCAAAUGGAGUUCUCUGGAGUGAAGUAAAAUUAAUUCACAAACCUCUGUUGCAUCCAAGGUCAAAUACUCUCACGAACACCCACUCUCUGUUCCCUGGUUUAAUACUCACUGAGUAACAUUCUGAAGCCUGAGACUUUUAUACAUACCCAGUUUCCAGAAAAGGCACAAAGAAGCUUUCCCCAAAAGAAAAUACAUGAAUAUUCCAUUUAUUUAAAAACAUCCGAGCAGGUCUAAGCAAUAUAAAUUAAUAUAGCAGCAUCAGUGUCUUGUGAGUUAAGACGAGUGUCCUAAGAUUUAGUUGCUUAACUGAUUCCUCUAUGUCCCUAAAUCAAAUGAUGAAAUACAGAUUUAGGUUCCAUUUUUUUGAAAGAAUACUUCAUAGGUCAUUCUGUCUACUUCCUACUGCACCACAUUUAGGAGGGAGGCACAUCAUGUGUGGUUGUCUCUUUAGUAAUUCUGAGAUUGGUCAAGGGGUCCAGGUGGUGUCUGACCUUAUUCCAUCAUUACAAAAGAAGUCACCAUCUACUUUUUACCUAGUGGUUUCAGUAUCUUUGGAUAAUCACUGCCCGGAUUUAUCAAGGUUUGCAAAAUGAUUUUCUAAUUCUGUGGUUCCUUCUAUACACAUUAGCUGGGAUUCUUCAAAAUGUAACUUACAAAACAAACAAAAUCACUAUCAAGACUUGACAUUCCUUCUUCCAUAUCAAUUUUCAGAAUAGUGAUAAAAGUUACCAGUAAUGAUUUCUAGUGGAGACCAAUAUGUUUUUCUCAUCAUUAUAUACUUUUUUUUUUUUUUGAGACAGAGUCUUGCUCUGUCACCAGGCUAGAGUGCAGUGGUGUGAUCUCUGCUCACUGCAACUUCCGCAUCCUGGGUUCAAGCAAUUCUCCUGCCUCAGCCUCCCAAGUAGCUGGGACUACAGGUGCACACCACCACGCCCAGCUGAUUUUUGUAGUUUUAGUAGAGACAGGGUUUCACCAUAUUGGCCAGGAUGGUCUCGAUCUCUUGACCUCGUGACCUGCCCACCUCAGCCUCCCAAAGUGCUGGGAUUACAGGCAUGAGCCACUGCGCCCAGCCCAUAAAUUUUUAUAUAUUUGAUGAGGUUGAAUUAAUUGCCAUCAUUAUUCUCUUUUCUCUCUCUCUUUAGGAUCCUUAAACAGCUUAUAUUCAAUAAACUGCAUAUGUUUAAAUGGCACACUUUGUAAAGUUUGGUGAUACUGUACAGUCACAAAAGCAUAAUCAAUGUAGCAAACAUAUCUAUUGUAAUCUAAAAUGUCCUUGUGCCUUUUUUAACCUCCUGCUCCUCCUCCAUACUAUAUCCCCAGGCGACCUCUGAUUUACUUUAUGUUGGAAUUUUUGAGAAAUUCAUACAAAUGGCAUUAUUUAGUAUGUACUCUUUGUGUCUGACUGCUUUUACUCAGCAUAAUUAUUUUGAGAUUCAACAUGUUGUCUGUAUCAAUACCUUUAAUUGUCAAGUGGUAUGCUAUUGUAUGACUAUGUCACAAUUGUUUAGCCAUCGAUGAACAUUUGGGUCGUUUCCAGUUUGGGGUUACUACAAAUAAAGCUGCUAAGAACAUUUUUAUAUAAAUCUUUGUGCAGACAUAGAUUUUAUUUCUAUGGGAUAAAUACCUACUAGUGGAAAGGCUACAUCAGAUAGUAGGGUAUAUACUUAACUUUUCAAAAAAAACUGCAAAUGUGCUUUCCAUAGAAGUGCUAUUGCACAUUUCUCCUGAGCAUGAGAAUUUCAAUUCUUCCCCAUUCUCUCCAAUAUUUAGUAUGGUCAGACCUUAUAAUUUUAUCCAUUUUAAUAGGAGUAUAUUAUGGUUUGAAUGUGUCCCCUCCAAAAUUCAGGUGUUGACAUUUAAUGGCCAAUGUGAUAGUAUCAAGAGAUAGGACCUUUAAGAGGUGGUUAGGUCCUGAGGACUCCUCACUCAUGAAUGGGAUUAAGAGAUUUCGUGCAGCUUUUGACUCCCUUGCCCUUUCACCUUUCACCAUGUGAGGACACAGUGUUCCUCCCCUCCAGAGGACGCCACAACUGGGCGCCAUCUGGGAAGCAGAGGGCAGUCCUCAAUAGACAAAGGAACCUGCCAGCAUCUUGAUCUGGGACCUUGCAGCCUCCAGAAACUAUGAGAAAUACAUUUUUGUUCUUUGAUAAAUUACCCAGUCUUCUGUAUUUUGUUAUGGCAGCACAAAAAGAACUGUGACACUGUGUACAUGUACUUAAUCGUGGUUUUACAGCAGUCUCCCUUUCUCUGCUGUUUCACUUUUUUGUUGUUUGUUUGUUUUGAGAUGGAGUCUCGUUCUUGUCGCCCAGUCUGGAGUGCAAUGGCGUGAUCUCGGCUCACCGCAACCUGUCCUCCUGGGUUCAAGCAAUUCUUCUGCCUCAGCCUCCGAAGUAGCUAGGCUUACAGACACGUGCCACCACACCCUGCCAAUUUUUGUAUUUUUAGUAGACAGGCUGUUAGGCAGGCUGGUCUUGAACUCCUAACCUCAGGUGAUCCGCCCACCUUGGCCUCCCAAAGUGCUGGGAUUACAGGCAUGAGCCACCGCACCCAGCAUGCUGAUUCACUUUCUGCAGUUUCAGUUACCCACAGUCAACCAUGGGCCAGAACAUAGAAAAUUCAACUUUAUGCUGUCUACAAGAGGCAUACUAACUCAUAAAAAUUAAAAGACUGACCCAGAAAACACAGCAAAAAGAAAAAUAUCACGAAAUGAUUGUCAGUCCAAUUAAAAUUCAAGACUGGAAGAAUUCAUGGGUCAGAGAAGAACAGCUGGUACAAGUGGAUCUGCUCGGCACCUAUAACCUAAUUACCUCUCAGGCUCACACAAGUCUCUGGCCGCUAAGCGAAUGAUCUCCCAAAGGGAUUAUUCUCAAGCAGCACAGAAACUGUCCCUAUGCCUCAGGUGGCCCCAGAACUCUUUCGUACUAGAGACUUAUCUGUUAAUAAAGUUAACAAAGGAAAGUGGCCUUCCAAGAAUGUUUGUUUGGGCCACUACCUGGAAGAAAUAACACUUGACCAUGAGAGACUUGGCUGAGCAGUGCUGGGUCAGCUUAACCAAAGAAGACCAGCCAUCACCCACGGCAAGAGCAGCUCUGACUUGGACCCACUGUUCCCCCAGCCUGUUAGCAGCCUGUGAACAAUCUUUAAGUGACCCCUGGCCCUGUCACAUCUCCAUUCAACAGGGUUCUUGGGGAGGAUGUGUGGACCGAGAACAGUGCCCACCCACACCACCUGUAAGUGUGGCCACGGCAGCCAGCCAGCAUGGAUGCUAAGUAACAAGUGGUAUUGGGGCACAGAUGUGGCGGGAGCGCUUUGGGGCAAAGAAAGAGGUGCUGUGAGUGAGGACAGAAAGGAAGGGGAAAAAAAAGCCUCAUGGGUUAGAGCGCCUCUCACCUUUGGCUCUUCUUCAGAAGACUGGUAAAAGAAAACAAGAAGAGAAAUUGGUUUCCCUGACUUCUCUAAAGCAAGCGUUCUUCAGAAAAGAGAAUCGAUCAGCCUGGUUAAAGUGGAUAAACUAUGUGAUGUCCAUCCAGAGAGGUGUCUAUUAAUGGCUGUAAAAUGGAAAGAUGAAUCAAUGGGACCGAUUAAUAUUUAUGAAGAGUUGAACUAGGCAGAGUGAAAAAGCCUUGUAUAUUGGAUAAGAAAGGAAAAGCAUUGCACACCAUAGGAUGCGUUUGUUUGGCUAAGGUUUCUGUUUUGAUCACUGGGUAAUUGUAUAGAGCAGGGGCGUAUGGUAGAGAAAGAAAAUCUAUAUCUAGAAGUUAUUGACUUUAUGUACAAAAGCACUGGUUGGUGCCUAUUUUUGAGGACCACUCCAUCUUAAAAAUAACUUUGGUUUUGUACGGCCUAGUUGUGGUGGAAAAGGAGCUCCAAAGAGUAAGCAAGUUUCCUACAAAAAGAAUCCAAGCUGUUGAAACUACAAUUAAGAAAUGCAAAGAGUUACUAAUUUUACUACUUAGAGGAAAGGAAAUUCACAAGCAGGAAAGAAACUGUGGAUCAGGGCAAGUUGUAACUCUAGAGGUUCAGAGAUAGGAGCUCUAAUUACACCAGGGCAAGGGAGUACUGUUUGGGGAAAUUUCUGAAACAUGAAAUAGGAAAGCUGAGGGUCAAAAUGAUAUUGUGAUGUGAAUAAAUAGAGAAGACAUGUUUGCAUGGAGCUCAGCUGGGUAAUCAUGGAAAGAAGGAGGGGCGAAGGAGGAAACUGAAAAUCGAAAUAAAGAACAGAAGCACAGACCAUGAAAUAUGCCAAAUAUAGUGUGCAAAUACUCAGAAGGCAUGGAAAGAUAAGUUAGAAGCCAAAACUCAGUUAUCACUAUCGUGUGAAGGAACAAUAAAACUCUUAGCAAAAACAAAUGACUUAGCAUGAGACCAAUACUGCUUUCCUUAGGUAGCUUGGUCCAGAGGGAAAAGGCUGAUAUCACUCCCUAUCAAGGGUUUUUAGACGGUUUAAGUGAGCUCUGCAAGUGGGAGACACGGUGAUGAUUAUUGACAGUUGCUAUCUUUCAAGGGGGAGAAGCAAACUGAUGUUACACAUUAGAAUUAGUUAGCACCACCGAACACAGGUUACAAAAAUACUGGGAGGAAUUCUCUCUCCUGAGCACAUUACGCAAUAUUUGCAAAUGUGUGCAGGUAAGUGUUGACUCUCUCAUCAUGCUGGACCUGGAAAUGGUUCUCAGCAAAUCAUGGCAUGAUUUCUUUUUCAAAGUUGGGUACACGAAUAUUAUCGUAACCAGCUAAGAGCAGGGAGACGUGGCAUGGGAGACUAACAGAUAGUGCAGCUUUUAAGAGAAGACGUAGAAAUCAAUCUAGUAACAAAUAUUUAUUAAGCAUUGGAGUGUGCUAGGCACCAAGAGAAAAGAAACCUCCACAGCUGAUAAAGCCUUUCAAAAUAAUGUCCUCAGUUAAUUUGCACAUUUCCAUGAGGUAGGUGUUGUUAGCCAUUUCCGUUAAUGAGAAAAAAAAAAAUGAGAUUCAGAAAGGUUAAUUAAAUUGGAGAUCUCCUGAUUUUUUAGUUUUAUAUCCUUCCCGUGUCCUUUCCAGGCUUAUAUUCUGGUCCUAUCACUUCUCAGCUGAGUUACUUCAACAAGUUAUUUAUUCUCUGUGUUCCCAGCUGUCAAAAUGAAAAUGCCAGUACCCACCUGGUAAGGAGUGAGAGAACAUUUAUAAAAAUGCUCGGCUGGGUACCUGACACAUAGGAGGUCCUCAGUAAAUUUGUUUUCUCCCUUUCUUCCUGAAGUACGGUGGCAGAGGGAUUCAGCCAGCCAGCCUGGGUAGCACAAGCCAUGAUGCCCUGCUGAAUCUGUGUUCUAGGGUCGGACAGGGGGAGUCCUUUUGCCUAGAGGGAUGGUGUGCGAGGCCUAAGAGGACUUGGGCAGAGUCUUGAAGGACGAGCAGGAUUUGCUGUGGUGGAGAGGUGGUCACGGGUUGAGCAGAUAGGAGAACCAAGGAAUCAAGGCAGGGAAAGAGAGGGGAUGCAUGUGAAGGGCCAGGAGCUGUUAACUAGUUUGCUAAGCAGCAGGCGAGGAUUUAGAAGGAGUUGGAGAAGUGUGGAGGGAGCUGAGGCUCUUGUGAGGGGAACUUUUAUGCUAAGGGUUCCAACUUGGCCCUGUGAAUGAAGGUGAGCUGGGGAAGGUUUGUGAACUUGGAGUCUCACCUGUAAAAGAUUAAUCUGGUGCCAGUGUACAGAAUGGACCGUCAAGGAAGAGGUGGAAAAACAAGGAAAAUUUGUAUUUUAUAGACACACACACACAUAGACACAGAGCCCUUUUUAUUAGAAAACAUAUAAUCAACUUAACCCCAUUUUAAAUGGCUUGGACAUUAAUUUUACUCUUGUAAUUGAUUAUAGAGGUUUAAAACUGUUGUGUUUUUGCCUUUGUGACAUAUUAUGGCUGUAUCUAAAAUUUAUUUGAUGUUAAAUCAAGAACAAAACUCUUCAAUUCUAUUGUUGUUCCUAAGGUAAAAUAUAAUCUACUUUGAGUCAAUUCACUGUGUCAUAAACUUUCCAGGAAUGGGAAACUUGAUAAAAAGCAGAGACUCACUGCAUAUGACAAUAAUUAAAUCUAUAUUCAACAAGUAUAAAAGAAUGGUUGUAGGGGUGAGCAAUUUGGAAGAAAAAAAGCCACUUGACUUAAAUAUGACAGAAAAUCAUACUGAGGUCUGACACCCCAUGACCUUUUUUGAGAUUUGAGGUUAUGCCAUGUAUUUGAGAAUAAAUAAAAUCCAUUUAAGUGUCUAUAUUAUUAAAUGAAUCGUAUUUUCAGAAAGCAUUAGAUAAAGUCUGUUUUAGACCUUGGAAUCCAUUUUUCUCAUGAACACAAUAUCGUAAAUAGAUGAGAAUUGAGUUCCCAGUCUAUAAAACCCUUAUUAAAUCAUCAUGUAGCUGAACUAUUCUAUAUUGGCAAUCAAUAGAGUUGAGUAAUCUUUUCAUAGUCACAGUGAUAAAAAAACAAAAAAUAUUGAAGAAGUAAUUUUUCAAAAAAUAGAGGUAUAGCACGUUUAAUUAUGGAUUAAGAGGCCGAUAAAUAAUUUUGUGGUGAUUCUGAAGAGACUAUCUGGGCACUUUCAAAAGCUUUAGAGUUGAUAAACUGUUCUUAUUAUGUCUAAUUUAAUAUUCAAAAUUUAUGACCAUUCAUUCAUUCAUCAAACAUAACUUAGAUAUCUACAAUAGGUAUUGUGCUAGCCGCUGGAGAUUUCAAUGUAAUGAAACAGUUCCUAACUUAAAGAAAAGCAGCACUUGAAAUUUUACUAAUGCAUUCAGUCAUUUACUUAACAGAUACUGAAUGUUUGCUACCGUGAGUCUAUUAUUCCUAUGCGUAUCAACUCCCAGGAAGCAUGUGUAGCUCGCUGAUGGAAUACAGAGAAAUAUUCCUGAGAGAAUACCAAAAAUAGUCCGUUUGUGCUACUAAAACAAAAUGGCUGAGACCGAGUAGCUAGCUUAUAAAGAACAGAAAGCUAUUUUCUCACAGUUCUGGAGGCUGGGAAGUCCAAGAUAAAAGCACCAACGGGUUUGGUUGUCUGGCAAAGGCUUCUCUCUGUUUCCAAGAUGGUGCCUUGUUGCUGUGUCCUCCAGAGGGAAGGAAUGCUGUGUCUUCACAUGGCAGAAGGCUGAAGGGCAAGUGAGCUAACACUGUGUGAAGCUUAUUUUAUAAGGACCUUAAUCCCAUUCAAGAGGGAG